rnacentral:lncRNA from 1 species
UAUGCAGAUGUUCUUUAUUCAUCAUCACCAGUAACUGGAAACCCGCUCUCCUUGAAGCACCUGUUGGUGAGCGUCCGUGGGAUGUUGCCACCAGUAACUGGACACCUGCUCGCCUUGAAGCACCUGUAGCUCAUGGUGGGCGUCGGCAAGGACAGGACCGCAUUCCUGGAUGACAAGGACCCUUGGCAGGUGCAGCGCUAGAUUCACAGCGACGGGGUCUCCUGAGCUGCCUUCCGUACCAUCGAAGAGCACACCUGGCAGCAGAUUUGCAUCCUGGGCCUCCACCUGUUGGAACCGCCGGCCCUCGGGGUCCAGCUCCCCCGCCACUCCCCUGGCUCCUCUCCAGUCGUCCAUGUCGGAGACCCUCGCUCCUGUGACCCUUCCUCUCCAGUCGUCCACGUCGGAGACCCUGGCUCGUGUGGCCCUUACACCGGUACCGAGUUCAGACGACUGGGAACCAACCAGCGGCUGGCCACAUGGAUCACAUCGUCCGGCAAAUUUUGCUCAGAGCACAGCGUUGUUUGAUUACGAGCCGGACUUGUUGGAAACCCUGCGGGAAAGGACACAAACAGGGUCAUGAGAACAUCUGCUGAGUUUCAGGAUGUAAAGCCUGUGUGUGCGCCUGUGUGUGUAUGCGUGUGUGUUGCUAAAAUAAAUAGGUAUCUGAGGAGUAAUAAUGUUUUAUU